UGCCAGCAGCCGCGGUAAUACGUAGGGUGCGAGCGUUGUCCGGAAUUAUUGGGCGUAAAGGGCUCGUAGGCGGUUUGUCGCGUCGGGAGUGAAAACCAGGUGCUUAACACCUGGCUUGCUUUCGAUACGGGCAGACUAGAGGUAUUCAGGGGAGAACGGAAUUCCUGGUGUAGCGGUGAAAUGCGCAGAUAUCAGGAGGAACACCGGUGGCGAAGGCGGUUCUCUGGGAAUGACCUGACGCUGAGGAGCGAAAGUGUGGGGAGCGAACAGGAUUAGAUA
rnacentral:rRNA from 1 species